UAUUGAAGCUCGCCACCUCACAAGUGU
rnacentral:piRNA from 1 species